rnacentral:lncRNA from 1 species
CUAUCCUAAAGGAAAAAGUAAAUGAAAUGAAAUAAAAUGUCUCAUUUUAAGGUAGUGCAAGAGAAAGCCUUUGUAUGUGCAAGUGUACUAACCACAAGAUGAAAAAAGCAUUUGACAUUGGUCAAAACAAGCAUUCAUUACCCUUUGGAUUGAGCCACAAGAUAAAAGCACAUGGGAAGAUGAAUGUCAAAAGAUCCAUAUGAACAACAAAGCCACAAAUCCAUAAAGA